rnacentral:miRNA from 1 species
GACGUCGAAUAUCGGGGUCAUAAACACCAAAGUUGAUCGUGUUUAUGUCGUCGAAUAGCGACAUCAUAAACACCUAAGUUGAUCGUGUUUAUGACGUCGACAUCAAUGUUGAUCGUGUUUAUGACGUCGAAUAUCGACGUCAUAAGCAUCAAAGUUGAUGGUGUUUAUGACGUCGAAUAUCUACGAUAUAAACACCAAAGUUCAUCGUGUUUAUGACGUCGUAUAUCGACGUC